GAUGAACGCUGGCGGCGUGCCUAAUACAUGCAAGUCGAGCGAACAGACGAGGAGCUUGCUCCUCUGACGUUAGCGGCGGACGGGUGAGUAACACGUGGAUAACCUACCUAUAAGACUGGGAUAACUUCGGGAAACCGGAGCUAAUACCGGAUAAUAUAUUGAACCGCAUGGUUCAAUAGUGAAAGACGGUUUUGCUGUCACUUAUAGAUGGAUCCGCGCCGCAUUAGCUAGUUGGUAAGGUAACGGCUUACCAAGGCAACGAUGCGUAGCCGACCUGAGAGGGUGAUCGGCCACACUGGAAAUGAGACACGGUCCAGACUCCUACGGGAGGCAGCAGUAGGGAAUCUUCAGCAAUGGGCGAAAGCCUGACGGAGCAACGCCGCGUGAGUGAUGAAGGUCUUCGGAUCGUAAAACUCUGUUAUUAGGGAAGAACAAAUGUGUAAGUAACUAUGCACGUCUUGACGGUACCUAAUCAGAAAGCCACGGCUAACUACGUG
rnacentral:rRNA from 1 species